GAACUGUCACACCGUGAGCAUGAUGAAGAUAUCACAGUGAGUCUUUUUUCUAACAGCUCUCCUGCAGCUCUCCUGUACCCCGACCUCUUGUCGCUACGGAAACAGUGCGCUGCCCUCACAAUGCUCACUCGCUCUGGGGAGAGACGCAGAGGAGAGGAGACGAAGGAGGAGGGAAGCUCCGAGCUGGACAGAGGGAUGAAGAGGGACUGGCAUGCAAGAGAUCCCAGGACAGUCAGCAGCAGCCCCUCCAUCUGAAGCAUCAGAGCUGGUGUCUGCUAAGGAGCAGGCUGUACAUCAGGUUGAAUCCUACAGCCCCA
ensembl:lncRNA